CCACGUACACCGGUGAAUCUGGUAACUGCUAUAGGCUAUAGCCAUUGCCGCAGGGGGGCUGGGCAAGAGCAGAACCAGCUAUCCUUUCUUGCGUCUGAGAUUGGUUUCUACCGAUGCAGCGCAGGGGGUGGCGGUGAUCCAUAUUGAACUGGGUGUACUGAUGGCCAUGGAUGGUGCUGCUGUGGGGGAGGAGGCGAUGCAUAUCGGACAGGGUUUGUGGGUGGCAAUGGGCCGGGGUAAUAUGGUGGUGGCGGUGGCGGUGGCCAUGGAUGUGUUGGGGUGCAGGGCAGCGGUGGCGGCAGGACGGGGCAUGGCGGGCACUGUGGUGGAGGGUGAUAGACUGGCGCUGGAGGAGGCGGGGAUGGUGGAGGUGGGGAAUGCGGUAGUGGUGAUGGUGGUGGUGGUGACGGCAGAAGUUGAGGUGGCGGUGGUGAAGGCAGCGGCGGUGGCGGCAGAGGAGGAGACAGAAG
rnacentral:misc_RNA from 1 species